UUCCCGGGCCUUGUACACACCGCCCGUCACACCACGAAAGUUGGCAAUACCCGAAGCCGGUGGCCUAACCCGCAAGGGAGGGAGCCGUCGAAGGUAGGGUCGAUGAUUGGGGUG
rnacentral:rRNA from 1 species